rnacentral:rRNA from 1 species
GACGAACGCUGGCGGCGUGCUUAACACAUGCAAGUCGAACGGAAAGGCCCCUUUGGGGGUACUCGAGUGGCGAACGGGUGAGUAACACGUGAGUAACCUGCCCUUGACUUCGGGAUAACUUCAGGAAACUGGGGCUAAUACCGGAUAGGAAUCCUUGCUGCAUGGUGGGGGUUGGAAAGCUUCGGCGGUUUUGGAUGGACUCGCGGCUUAUCAGCUUGUUGGUGGGGUAGUGGCUUACCAAGGCUUUGACGGGUAGCCGGCCUGAGAGGGCGACCGGCCACAUUGGGACUGAGAUACGGCACAGACUCCUACGGGAGGCAGCAGGGGGGAAUAUUGCACAAUGGGCGGAAGCCUGAUGCAGCAACGCCGCGUGCGGGAUGACGGCCUUCGGGUUGUAAACCGCUUUCAGCAGGGGCGAAGCUUGUGGUGACGGUACCUGCAGAAGAAGCACCGGCUAACUACGUG